GCCAGACUCCUACGGGAGGCAGCAGUGAGGAAUAUUGGUCAAUGGGCUUACGCCUGAACCAGCCAAGUCGCGUGAGGGAAGACUGCCCUAUGGGUUGUAAACCUCUUUUGUCAGGGAGCAAUUGGCGCUACGUGUAGCGUUAUCGAGAGUACCCGGAGAAAAAGCAUCGGCUAACUCCGUGCCAGCAGCCGCGGUAAUACGGAGGAUGCGGGCGUUAUCCGGAUUUAUUGGGUUUAAAGGGUGCGCAGGCGGUCUGUUAAGUCAGCGGUCAAAGCCCGGGGCUCAACCCCGCCCAGCCGUCGGAACUGCCGGGCUAGAGUGGGCGAGAAGUGCGCGGAAUGCGUGGUGUAGCGGUGAAAUGCAUAGAUAUCGCGCAGAACUCCGAUUGCGAAGGCAGCAUGCCGGCUCCACACUGACGCUGAGGCACGAAAGCGUGGGUAUCGAACAGGAUUAGAUACCCGAGUA
rnacentral:rRNA from 1 species